ACCGUGAUGCCCUUAGUAAUGGCGAAUGAAACGGGCAGAGCCCAGCACCGAACUGCCGGCCAUCUCGGUCGCGCGGAAUGUGGUGUUUGGGAAAGCCUCAUCGCAGCGAGCCGAAGCGUUCAAGUACACCUUGACUGGGACCACGGCCCGUAGAGGGUGAUAGGCCCGUGAGACUUUUGGCUUGCUGCGCUGGCUUUUCCCUAGAGUCGAGUUGUUUGGGAGUACAGCUCAAAGCGCGUGGUAAACUCCACGUAAGGCUAAAUAUGACCCCGAGACCGAUAGCGAACAAGUACCGUGAGGGAAAGUUGAAAAGCACUUUGAAGAGAGAGUUCAAGAGUACGUGAAACCGCUUAGUAGUAAACGGAGGGGCUCUCGAAGUCGGCGGUGACGGUUCAGGGUGACGGCGGGGCGGCCUGGGGGCGUGGGAUCCGCAAGGACCCUGUCCACUUGUCGGCUCUGUCGGUGCCUGCACUUCGUUGCCGCCAUACGCGACGAACCGUUUCUGACGGACCGAGGGCGUGGGUGAAGUUUGCGGGCCUCGGCCUUCAAGCCCCGCGUUCCUGGCUCUGUCGGGGACGGGUAGUGGAGCGAUCUCUUAUAGAGAGUGYCCUUGCUGGCACGGUUCGCAUCUCUGUCGCGAGUAGGUCGGCGGCCCCUCCGACCCGUCUUGAAACACGGACCAAGGAGUUUAACAUGUGCGCGAGCCAUUGGGCGUUCGAAACCCAAAGGCGCAGUGAAAGCAAAGUCUGACUUGUCAGACGAGGGGUGAUCCUUCACGGGCGCAACCCCGGAGCUUCGCAUCGACCUCGCUUCGUGCGGAGCAUCAAGAGCGUACACGUUGAGACCCGAA
rnacentral:rRNA from 1 species